rnacentral:rRNA from 1 species
CUGCCGGACCCCACUGCUAUCGGGAUAGGACUAAGACAUGCUAGUUGAGCGCUUCCAGCCAAUACGGGAGCGCAGCGCACAGCUCAGUAACACGUGGCUAAUCUGCCCUUGGGACCAGAACACCCCCGGGAAACUGGGGCUAAUUCUCGAUAGGUGAAGAACUCUGGAAUGAGUAUUUGCCAAAAAGACGUUUACGUUAUGCUCGUAGGCGUCGCCCAAGGAUGAGGCCGCGACCGAUCAGGUUGUUGGUGAGGUAAUGGCUCACCAAGCCUUUUACCGGUGCGGGCCGUGAGAGCGGGAGCCCGGAGAUGGGCACUGAGACAACGGCCCAGGCCCUACGGGGCGCAGCAGCCGCGAAAACUUUGCAAUACACGAAAGUGUGACAGGGCUAUCCCGAGUGCCAUCCGCUGAGGAAGGCUUUUACCCAGUCUAGAACGCUGGGGGAAUAAGGAGAGGGCAAGUCUGGUGUCAGCCGCCGCGGUAAUACCAGCUCUCCGAGUGGUGUGGAUGUUUAUUGGGCCUAAAGCAUCCGUAGCUGGCUGAGUUAGUCCUUUGUUAAAUCCACCGAAUUAAUCGUUGGAUUGCGGGGGAUACUGCUCGGCUAGGGGACGAGAGAGGCAGACGGUAUUUCUGGGGUAGGGGUGAAAUCCUAUAAUCCCAGGAGACCACCAGUGGCGAACGCUGUCUGCUAGAACGCGCCCGACGGUGAGGGAUGAAAGCUGGGGGAGCGAACCGGGAUUAGAUACCCGGGUAGUCCCAGCUGUAAACGAU